GUUUGAUCAUGGCUCAGAUUGAACGCUGGCGGAAUGCUUUACACAUGCAAGUCGAACGGCAGCACGAGAGCUUGCUCUUGGUGGCGAGUGGCGAACGGGUGAGUAAUAUAUCGGAACGUAUCCAAUAAUGGGGGAUAACUAAUCGAAAGGUUAGCUAAUACCGCAUACGCCCUACGGGGGAAAGCAGGGGAUCUUCGGACCUUGCGUUAAUGGAGCGGCUGAUAUCUGAUUAGCUAGUAGGUGAGGUAAAGGCUCACCUAGGCUUCGAUCAGUAGCUGGUCUGAGAGGACGACCAGCCACACUGGAACUGAGACACGGUCCAGACUCCUACGGGAGGCAGCAGUGGGGAAUUUUGGACAAUGGGCGCAAGCCUGAUCCAGCCAUUCCGCGUGAGUGAAGAAGGCCUUCGGGUUGUAAAGCUCUUUCGCAAGGGAAGAAACGAUACCGACGAAUAAUCGGUGUUAAUGACGGUACCUUGAUAAGAAGCACCGGCUAACUACGUGCCAGCAGCCGCGGUAAUACGUAGGGUGCGAGCGUUAAUCGGAAUUACUGGGCGUAAAGCGUGCGCAGGCGGUUUUGUAAGUCAGAUGUGAAAUCCCCGGGCUCAACCUGGGAACUGCGUUUGAAACUACAAGGCUAGAGUAUGGUAGAGGGGGGGUAGAAUUCCACGUGUAGCAGUGAAAUGCGUAGAGAUGUGGAGGAAUACCAAUGGGCGAAAGCAGCCCCCUGGACUAAUACUGACGCUCAUGCACGAAAGCGUGGGGAGCAAACAGGAUUAGAUACCCUGGUAGUCCACGCCCUAAACGAUGUCUACUAGUUGUUGGGAGAGUAAAAUCUCUUAGUAACGCAGCUAACGCGUGAAGUAGACCGCCUGGGGAGUACGGUCGCAAGAUUAAAACUCAAAGGAAUUGACGGGGGCCCGCACAAGCGGUGGAUUAUGUGGAUUAAUUCGAUGCAACGCGAAAAACCUUACCUGGCCUUGACAUGUACCGAAUUUAGCAGAGAUGCUUUAGUGCUCGAAAGAGAACGGUAACACAGGUGCUGCAUGGCUGUCGUCAGCUCGUGUCGUGAGAUGUUGGGUUAAGUCCCGCAACGAGCGCAACCCUUGCCAUUAAUUGCCAUCAUUUAGUUGGGCACUUUAAUGGGACUGCCGGUGACAAACCGGAGGAAGGUGGGGAUGACGUCAAGUCCUCAUGGCCCUUAUGGCCAGGGCUUCACACGUAAUACAAUGGUCGGUACAGAGGGUUGCCAACCCGCGAGGGGGAGCCAAUCCCAGAAAGCCGAUCGUAGUCCGGAUUGUAGUCUGCAACUCGACUGCAUGAAGUCGGAAUCGCUAGUAAUCGCGGAUCAGCAUGUCGCGGUGAAUACGUUCCCGGGCCUUGUACACACCGCCCGUCACACCAUGGGAGUGGGUUUCACCAGAAGUAGUUAGUCUAACCGCAAGGAGGACGAUUACCACGGUGGGAUUCAUGACUGGGGUGAAGUCAUAACAAGGUAGCCGUA
rnacentral:rRNA from 1 species